AUUGAACGCUGGCGGCAGGCCUAACACAUGCAAGUCGAACGAGUGGCGGACGGGUGAGUAAUGUCUGGGAAACUGCCUGAUGGAGGGGGAUAACUACUGGAAACGGUAGCUAAUACCGCAUACCAUCGGAUGUGCCCAGAUGGGAUUAGCUGGUUGGUGGGGUAACGGCUCACCAAGGCGACGAUCCCUAGCUGGUCUGAGGGGAUGACCAGCAAAACUGGAAGUGAGACACGGGCCAUACUCCUACGGGAGGCAGCAGUGGGGAAUAGUGCACAAGGGGCGCAAGUCUGAUGCAGCCAUGCCGCGUGUGUGAAGAGGGCCUUCGGGUUGUAAAGCACUUUCAGCGGGGAGGCGUUACCCGCAGAAGAAGCACCGGCUAACUCCGUGCCAGCAGCCGCGGUAUUC
rnacentral:rRNA from 1 species